rnacentral:lncRNA from 1 species
UGAUGUGGCUGAUGCACAUUUUUGCAAGCGGCUGUAUAUCCUGUUGUCACAGUGGGCUUCAGAGCACAGUAGUACACAGCAGAGUCAGACAGCUGCAGUCUCUGGAUCAUCAUGGGGACUUAGUUUUGUUUGGCAUUAAGAUGUGCAUGAAGUCUCCUUGAACUCUGUAGCUUUGUACCCGGGCCCAAAUUUGAACAGCAGAACCAUUUAUGUGGGGAAGCAGUUUGCAACAUAUAUGUACCAGAUUAGAUAUGGACUUGGAUUAUCUAUAUCAUAGCAACAGGGUCGACCUGACAGCCGGCACUGGGAUUGCUGUGAUGACUCAGUCCCUGCAACACACAUACCAGAUAUUUGACAGUGAAGACUGUGAUACUUUGGGACCUUCAUAGCCAGCGGUUGGAGCAGAACCAGUGUGCCCAGAGUUCAAGCUUCUUGUAAUAAUGAGGCAAUCAGCAGGUCAGCAGUGUACUGGAUGAGGGUGCUACGCUGGGGAAAACCAGCAGCCUGAUCCUUAUAAGCAGGGUGUGCCACUGAAUCGUUGGAGCAGUGAAAGUAUAAUGCUUAACCUUGAAUGAGAAAGCAAAAGGAUACUGUGAGUCUUUGUGAAUACUGUUGGCAGAACAUAUGCAUAAUAAAUAUCUACAACAGUGGCCCUUCUGGUUGACUUUCAUACCACACCACCAAGUAGAGGGAAAUAUGAGGAGCAGAAUACGUGCUGAUCUUUGUCAAAUUUGCAAUGGCAUUUCCAAACAAUAUAAAAAUACCCACCUAUAGUACAUGGAAUUGAAGACUGCUGACUGAAGGACUUUUGUAACAGUGCAUAAAGGAUGACAAAAAUACUGGAGUGUCUGUAAUGUGACGUGAACAAGGCACAGGUGUGACCACAAAUUGCUUUUACAAAGCACCCAGCCUGAAACCCCAAGGAGCAAACAACAACAGUGUUGAAUUUCAGUGGCUCGGAAAAAAAAACUAAAUCUGCAACACAACAGGAACAACAACGAGUCCUUCAAGUCCUCCUAAGUUUAAACAGGGCAGGAGACAGAGAUAAUUUUGAAAGUGCAUUCCUUACAUCUACAAAGAUUCACAGUGGAGAAGGAGAACUGACCCUACACCCCUGGCACAAUAACAUAGCAGCGUGAAACCUUGGGGCUGAGUCGGGUGGUCCAGUGACACUGUGGCCCUAUCCGGGGGAGGCCCUGGACAGGGCCCAACAGGCAGGAAAUCAAUCCACCCACAUUGCCAAGCAUCAACCAAAGGGACACCCACCAAUGGCAACCACCCUUAAAUGGCAUUGGAGGGAGGUCAUCCCAGCGGCGAUGAAAGCCCACCUGGCAAGACAACAAGAGUGGACAGUAUCAAGCCUUCACACCCCCGGG